UAACUCUAUAAAUUGUAAAGUGGUAAAACAAUUUGUUAUAUGCAAAGGGAGGGUGGAGGAAUAUGACUGAAAUUGUCAAGUUUGUUUAUGCUAUGAUUAUCUUUUUUAAGUUAUUUCUUGUUGCAACAAACAAUGACGAUGACAGUUGUUAUAAUGAUUAUCAUUGUAUCAACAAAUCAUGGUUGUGUCCAUCUGGACUUGUGGUGAGAUGUAUAACGCGCCAAUGUAAAUGCAUUACAAUCUUGAACCCAAUAGAUUUUGUGUCCACAUGAAUAUGAAUUUAAUGUUAGACCAAAGAGAUUACAUAAAAGUUGUGCCAGAAUAUUUCACGAGUUGUCAUUUAAUUAUUGUGUUAACACCCGAUAAUUUCAAGAACAUUGUAGUUAUGGGUUUGUGCUAUACUUUGAUUGUAAUAAAAUGAAACAAGACAUCAAAAAAUAUUAUAUA